ACAAGCGGUGGAGCAUGUGGUUUAAUUCGAUGAUACGCGAGGAACCUUACCUGGGCUCAAAUGUAUGUUGACGUAUUCUGAAAGGGAUACUUCUUCGGACAAUAUACAAGGUGCUGCAUGGUUGUCGUCAGCUCGUGCCGUGAGGUGUCGGGUUAAGUCCCAUAACGAGCGCAACCCCUAUCAUUAGUUGCCAUCAGGUCAAGCUGGGGACUCUAAUGAAACUGCCUACGCAAGUAGUGAGGAAGGUGGGGAUGACGUCAAAUCAGCACGGCCCUUACGUCCAGGGCUACACACGUGCUACAAUGGCCGGUACAGAGCGCAGCGAGGCCGCGAGGCGGAGCGAAUCGCUUAAAGCCGGUCCCAGUACGGAUUGGAGUCUGCAACCCGACUCCAUGAAGUUGGAAUCGCUAGUAAUCGUGAAUCAGAAUGUCACGGUGAAUACGUUCCCGGGCCUU
rnacentral:rRNA from 1 species